UGUACACACACCUGACAAUCA
rnacentral:piRNA from 1 species